rnacentral:rRNA from 1 species
UACGUAGGUGGCGAGCGUUAUCCGGAAUUACUGGGUGUAAAGGGCGUGUAGGCGGGUUAGUAAGUCAGAUGUGAAAUUCCAAGGCUCAACCUUGGCGCUGCAUCUGAAACUAUUGAUCUUGAGUGCUGGAGAGGAAAGCGGAAUUCCUAGUGUAGCGGUGAAAUGCGUAGAUAUUAGGAGGAACACCAGUGGCGAAGGCGGCUUUCUGGACAGUAACUGACGCUGAGGCGCGAAAGCGUGGGGAGCAAACAGG